AGCUCCAAUAGCGUAUAUUAAAGUUGUUGCAGUUAAAAAGCUCGUAGUUGGAUCUCAGGUGCUGGCGGAUGGUCCCUUUAACGAGGGUUACUGUCCGCUCCGGCCCUACCCGCCAGUGUGUCAAGGGUGCUCUUGACUGAGUGCCCCUGGCGGCUGGAACGUUUACUUUGAAAAAAUUAGAGUGUUCAAAGCAGGCAUUCAUCGUGCCCGAAUACAUGAGCAUGGAAUAAUGGAACAGGACUACGGUCACUGCACUUUUUCCGUUGGUUUCGGAGGACCGAAGUAAUGAUUAAGAGGGACAGUUGGGGGCAUCCGUAUUUCGUAGUCAGAGGUGAAAUUCUUGGAUCUGCGAAAGACGAACGAGUGCGAAAGCAUUUGCCAAGAGUGUUUUCAUUAAUCA
rnacentral:rRNA from 1 species